rnacentral:rRNA from 1 species
UACGAAGGGGCGAGCGUUGUUCGGAUUUACUGGGCGUAAAGGGCGCGCAGGCGGUUCUGUUUGUCGAGUGUGAAAGCCCCGGGCUCAACCUGGGAACUGCGCUCGAAACGGCGGAACUAGAGUUCGGGAGAGGAGAGUGGAAUUCCCAGUGUAGAGGUGAAAUUCGUAGAUAUUGGGAAGAACACCAGUGGCGAAGGCGGACUCACUGG